AUUAUGCUGAGCAACCUCUUCAGGCUUCAAGUCUGAAUUGGUGUCCAUGAGGAAUGUGAAGUAUUCAGCAGGUUAGUCAUUAGCUGCUUCCAGGAGGAUGUGCUGCUGGCCUGGCUCCACAAGCUCCCUGGGGAUGGGCUGAGCUUUAACUUUGCCAAGUGUUUUAGAGAAACAUUGGACAGCCUGGGGCUGCAGAAAGCACACAUUGGGGCAGAGUCCUGCACUUCCUCAUACAGAAAAGCCACAAUGUGAGAUUGGUGCUAAAGGAAGAACCUCUUGGAGCCAGUUCUGGGUUCUCAGGAAACAGGAAAACUCCUCGUGUUCCUGCCCUAACACAUCCUCAGCACUACUUUCUAAAGGGAUGCAUUUCAACAUUUUCUUCAGGCAUCAGUGCUUUUUUUACCAUCUCCUGCAUUAUUACAUCUUUUCCUUCUUUUCAGUGUAACCACUGUCUCAGAGAGUUUGAGCUGCUGCUCAGCUGGGACUGGAGAAAUGGCCACAGAGACAUACAGUUUGUGACAGUACUGACAGUGUUUCAAGCAUCUGGAUUUCAGCCACAGCUCCUGGUAUGAAGUUUUAGACAAGUGAUGGGUCAAGGUACAUCUUGAGGGGACUAUGGUAAACUAACAAAUUAAACCCUCUCAGAAAAGCUUAGGACUUGCUCUUGAUAUCUUUCCAUCAAUUUAGUCUUUUGUCAUGAAAUACAUUCUAGAGUCUCUUAAGCAAACUGGUGUGAUUUUGUUCAUUGCACAAUUUUCUUCAGCUAGUGAAUAUUAAUUCCCCUAUUGGAUCAAAUAAUUAGAAUAAUGCAAAUUGACCCAAAUAACAUUUGCAAAUUAAAUGAUGCCUAAGUACUUUACAAUAAACAGAUCAAGAAAAAUACAUUCA